AAACCUCAUGGUUCCCAGUCGGGUUUGUCAACCACUGCGCCAUGACAGGAACUCCUCCAAAAAAUGGCAAUUUCAUAAUAGUAUUUCCUUAUAGGAGUGUUUCACAGUUAAUACCUCAUUCUAUUAAUGGAAAUGGACAUCUGAGCUCUUUUCUGGGCAAUUUUAUGUAUGCCUUUAGGAGUUUGAGUUUCACAAGCAUCUGUUUUUGUUAGAAUGUAUCACAUAUUUUUACAAUUUGCCUUUCAUUUAUGUAAAUUUUACCUAGAAAAUAAACCAGCAACAAAUAUUGAACUCUGUUAAUAAUAUGCGUGCUGAUGUAUUUAUGGCUAAAAUGAACUGAUGCCUAUACGACUUUAAAAUAAAGCAAGAAUAGUGGGGUUUUUUUUUGAAAUUUAUCAAGUUUAAUUUUUCAAAGGUAACUGUUGUUAUAUUAGAAAAUAAAUCUUAAAUGAUAACAUUUAUUUCUAAGCAUGCCAUUUAACUAUUUCAAAACAGAUUGUUUUUUUUAAAUGAUACAAACACAGGUAAAAAUGUUGCUUUCACCAACUUACAAUCAUUGGGAAUUUAACUCUAGAAAAAUAAUAUUACUAUGUCAUCUAAAAAUCUGUAUUGAUAAACUGCAUAUACGUUCAAACUUAUAAAGCAAUUUGUACAGAAAAUAAUAUACAUAUAUAGUUCACUUAUAAGAUCACUGUAUAAUAGUUACAAAACUGUUUUGAGAAAUGUGGCUUAAGGAAGCUUCAAAAUAGGUAAAAGUCAAAGAGACAAAUAUCUCUUCAGUAUGACAUUUCUUUCACCACUAACGAAAGAGAACCCAAGCAUUCUGUGAACAUAGAGAAAGUCCCACAUUUCUUGGUGUAUUCUUAAAAUGGAAAGACAUUUAGAUGGGAGAAGAUGACUGGGAAGCAACUCCCUGCCAUGCUCAGCAGGUCAAGUUGGACAAGCCAUCCUGCAUCCACUGGCCUCAGUGUAGUUCAGGUGGGGAGCCAUCAGAGGGGAUGGAUGUGACCUGGCAGCUGGGGAGGCCUGAGUGGUGGGGAGGGAAUGGCAUGACUUUACUCCCCAGGCUCACUCUUGGGGAAAGGGCCAUCAAGGCUUGGUGCUUGGCCUCCAGGAUGCUUUGGAAAGACCCCCUGGGAGGUGGUGGUUCUCAUCUUCCAGGAACUUGAGCAUCUCCACCAUCUCCUCUUCUUGUUUAGACUGCAUGACUCUCUCUUUCUCCAGUUCUUGAGCCAGAGAAUUGACUUCUUCCAUCAACAUCAGGUUGAUUCUCAUCAUCUCUCUGUAGGUGACCGUGAGGCUGGGUAUAUUUAAUGACUCUCUCUCUAGCCUGGCCUUCUCUAAUGAUGUCUCCAUCUCUUCAUUCUCCUUUUGAGCAGCAUAAAUCUUCUCAAUGAGUUGGCCUUUCUCCUCAAUCUGUGCAGCCAAUGUUUUUGCGAGCUGCUUUUCACAUCUCAGGUAAAGUCGACUUCGAACAGACCGAAGCAGUCGCAAUGUAAAGACGAGUCCUACCAAGAAGGGGAUGAUGACAUACAGACACACCACUGUCUCCCACUGGAAGCUCUGGAAAGUGGACCGUGAACCAAAGCCAUUGGGCAGCAGCAACACCAGCACCUCACUCAGCUGCCCAAGAAUCAGCUCAAAGCCAAGCUCCACAGAGGAUGGCAGCCCCUCCAUGGCACUGAUCCAGCACAGGGCUCUGCCCAGUUACCGUGGAUCCACCAGGCACAACAAACCCCAAGAUUCCGCCUGGAACCCAGCCAGCAACUGCCAUCCUGGAUUGGAGUCAGCUUGUGCCAGAAGUCUGACCCAAAAUGUGAAGACAGUUGACCACCGAUGUUGCAUCAUUUCCAAAUUCCAGAAGAUACUGAUGGGCUUCAUCCACACAGCGAAAGAGGUGCUGAAGGAAUCUAGAGGCAAAUCACUUCUCAAUAGAGGGUGUGUCCAAUUCGAGGGCCUUGAAUCCUCUGGAUACAGCACAGCCAUUGAUCUUCAGCACUUGAGCAUGUCCUAUACUUUUCCCCAAUCCUUGGCUUUCUCUUUGGCUGUAAGUGUAUCAUAGGGUACCAGCAGGGGAUGGUUUCCUCCUUGUCCAGUUCCGGUAUUGUCCGCAUCAGCCAAACACAAACAGCCUUGAUCAAAUUCUUCUUUUUCUCCUAAACAGCAGACUACCAAUCAUGGGCUUUAAUUAAGGCAUUUUCUUUCACUAAGGACCCAGGUGCUUGAGCUGCUGGAGCUGUUGCGUGUCCUGCCGCCGCUGCGUGUCCUGCUGCUGCAGUUUCUCAAGAAUAGUGGAUUAAAAGAAGAAUUACUAGAUGGAUAGAUAGGUUAGAAAAGCAAGAAGUAUCCUAAAAUGUUUAUUGCAAAGUCUAGGUAGGACGUAUAGAGGUGUUCAGUGCAAAAAGGUUUCCACUUUUUUACAUAUUCAAAAAUAUUUAUAAUAAAAAUAUAGAUAAAUGGAACACAUGUAUAUAUCAUGUAAAUUACCCUACAUGUGUAAAAAGUUUAUAGCCCAAUAACUUUUUUUGGCUAUGACCAAAAAAAAUUAAAAAAAAAAAAGCGGUCACAUUUCUAAUCUGCAAUUUAAAAACUCAUGUACUGCCCUAACCUGAAUUGACGUAUCAAAUCAAAUCAAUCUUUGUACAAUUUUACAAUAAAAAUAUCAACAAGUGGCUUUGAUUACAGAGUGCUGACCAAGUCCUUCUAGAGUGUGUGCAUCUUACUUUCUAAAAAUGCAACUUUCAAAAUUCUGAAAUACAUCUGGCCCCUGGGGCUAGCUAAGGGAUCCAGACCUCUCUUAGGUGAUAAGUAGCUUUGGCCAAGACCCUAUUGUGGCUCUAGGCGGGCCUCAGAUCCAUGUGAAUAAUGCUUUCUAAACCAGUCAAUUCUACCUUCUAGGACAGCAGCAGACCGCCAAAAAGUAUGCUGAAGGAAGGUACUUGAGAAGUUUAUAUGUAAACACAGGCUGUACUUUAAAAUGCGAAACGGCCAUGACCUGCUUUAUCAGAGAUGGAAGGAAGAUAGGAAAAUAUAUUCCCCUAAAGGGACAGAUUCGAGAGUUACACACACGCCAUCAACCCUUCUCUCCUCGCCCGUGCAAAGUAAUACAAAAAUCCUACAGUCCAAACUAGAAUCAAACAGACAGCAUCCCUGACCUGUAAACGAAAUCCAUUCCCAUUUAAAAAAAAAAAAA